rnacentral:tRNA from 1 species
UAAUUAUAGUUGAUUAACAAUAUGGUUUUGUCAAAACCAAGGAAAGGUUAUUUUAAUUAA